UUGGUAUAGUACAAAAUGCUUUUAGUAUCCAUAAUCAUUGAUAUAAAUAAAUUAUAGAGCCUUUUGGAGAUCCAUAUGAGGAAUGAAAUGUAGAUCCUUUUUUGGCAUGAUCCUUGAUAACUCUUUAUCCUAGAGAAAUACAGUCGUCAGAUACUGGCUCCAUUUCUGACCUUGAACAGUGAGUGAUAACAAUGGACAACUUUGUAAAGCCAUUUGAAAUUUGUGGAUGAAAGCUUUAAGAUGUUAAUAAUUUUAUUCAGUCUGGGUUGAAUCUGCUCUUCUCAAUAUUUAACCUUUGCUUGGGUGAUUUUAAUAGUGAAUGGAAAACGAUUGCAGUUCUAAUUAAACUACAUUUUUUAAGAUUUAUAAAACAUUUAAGUCAUUUAUUUAUUUUAUUUAGGGUCAAGUUGUUUUCAGGAAUGGAGAGAGGAUGGGAACCAUCAAAUUUACGCAGUUCCAAGGAAAAAGCUUGUUUGUUUUCAUUGUAACCCACACAUCCUAUGGAGAAGAUCAGGAGAAGGAUCUAGAUUAUUUCUCAUGCAAGCUAUAGUCCAACGAUACAUCUGAAGUCUGUCUUUUGUUCUCACUAAUUCUGGAAAAGAGAAGACUAUACUAAAAAAAGUAAGAAAUUCAAGUGUAAGGAUCAAUAGUUGAAAGUAUUCUUUUUUUAUUUUUUAAUAUAAAUUAUACUCCAGCUGUUAAAAGAUUUUUCUCUUCUUCUUUCAUGAUUACUGUGGCAGUGCUGUAAAAAAUUAUUCAUUUCCUAAAAAAAUAAAUAAAAAAUAAUAAUCUUAAAACAUUGGCUAGCUUUCCAAAGCAUUCACAUUAACUUUUCAUAAAUCAUGGGCUAAUGGGAAAGUUCCAAAUAGUGGAAAUAAGCUAAUUAAGUCCAAUACUUAGAUUGGUAAAUGGGCUUUUCCUUUGUAAUUAUAGCUGUUAGGUGCUAUCAGGCUUGAGACAGAUAAGUAUCUCAGUCAUUAGUGUUUUUUAUGAACUGUGAUACAA
rnacentral:lncRNA from 1 species